rnacentral:tRNA from 1 species
UUAACUGAAGCCAAAAAGAGGCCUAUCACUGUUAAUGAUAUAAAUGAAUUUAAACUCCGGUUAAA